AGAGAGAGAUUACCAUUCACCAACAGCCAUGCAUGCAGUAACGGUGAGGUCAAAGGGAUGAACAACUGCUAUUUUGUUAAAUGUUUGCCAACACUCACAAUUCAAAUUUAUUCACUACGAAAAAAAACGUUUGAGCACUAUUCACUGACAUUACAUGAACAUGCACCUCCUGUAUAUUUAAGUAUCUUGGUGGGUGGACGUGGUUAGUUGAAUGCGUUUUUAACAAAACGUAGUUCUCAUGUGUUCAUUCUACUGAAGAGAAAAAGAACAUCGAAGAAUGAAUUUGACCGCAGUUUCACAGUUCGUGAAACGUUGCUCUGUCCUGGAAGGUAUAUCUGUCUCCAUUAUCCAAUUUCCCUCCAAUGCCUAUGUGAUCAACCAGAUUAUUGUAUGUUUUCUGAAUUGCCUGUUGUCAGUUGCAACUGUGUUGCUGAACGGUACCGCAAUACUUACAAUCUAUAAAUGCUUUCAUCUGAAAGUGAAAAUUUGCUUCUUUCUUAUUUAUCUUCAAUCGCUGGUUGACUUGAUAGCUGGAGCAGUUAGCAUACCGUUGUUUACCUUUGUCCUAGCAAGUGAAUUUGUGGGUACUGCCAACUGCGUUGCAAAUUUUAUUAUUUCAACUGUGGCAUUUAUACCAAUGGGAUUAUCAAUGGCAAUGUUGUGCGCACUUAGUUUUGAAAGAUAUAUGGGUGUUUUGCAUCCAUUUGUUCAUCGCACUCGAAUAACUAAGACAUCUCUGAAAACGUAUCUUUGUCUUAGUGUUGUUGCGAUCAUCGUCAUGAUGGCUAUAUCACUUGUGUACCCAAAACUGUAUUUUGUCUUUGGCACAGUAAAUAUAUGUAUUUCGCUAACCUUAAUAGGAUUUUUUUACACAAGAAUCUUCCAAACAGCCAGAAGAAGAUUUCGAUUAGAAAACCG